rnacentral:rRNA from 1 species
ACGCUGGCGGCGUGCCUAACACAUGCAAGUCGAGCGAAUGAAGUUCCUUCGGGAACGGAUUUAGCGGCGGACGGGUGAGUAACACGUGGGCAACCUACCUCAUAGAGGGAAUAGCCUUCCGAAAGGGAGAUUAAUACCGCAUAAGAUUGUAGUACCGCAUGGUACAGCAAAUUAAAGGAGCAAUCCGCUAUGAGAUGGGCCUGCGGCGCAUUAGCUAGUUGGUGAGGUAACGGCUCACCAAGGCGACGAUGCGUAGCCGACCUGAGAGGGUGAUCGGCCACAUUGGGACUGAGACACGGCCCAGACUCCUACGGGAGGCAGCAGUGGGAAUAUUGCACAAUGGGGAAACCCUGAUGCAGCAACGCCGCGUGAGUGAUGACGGCCUUCGGGUUGUAAAGCUCUGUCUUCAGGGACGAUAAUGACGGUACCUGAGGAGGAAGCCACGGCUAACUACGUG